rnacentral:rRNA from 1 species
GACGAACGCUGGCGGCGUGCCUAAUACAUGCAAGUAGAACGCUGAAGGAGGAGCUUGCUUCUCUGGAUGAGUUGCGAACGGGUGAGUAACGCGUAGGUAACCUGCCUGGUAGCGGGGGAUAACUAUUGGAAACGAUAGCUAAUACCGCAUAAGAGUAGAUGUUGCAUGACAUUUGCUUAAAAGGUGCAAUUGCAUCACUACCAGAUGGACCUGCGUUGUAUUAGCUAGUUGGUGAGGUAACGGCUCACCAAGGCAACGAUACAUAGCCGACCUGAGAGGGUGAUCGGCCACACUGGGACUGAGACACGGCCCAGACUCCUACGGGAGGCAGCAGUAGGGAAUCGUCGGCAAUGGACGGAAGUCUGACCGAGCAACGCCGCGUGAGUGAAGAAGGUUGUCGGAUCGUAAAGCUCUGUUGUAAGAGAAGAACGAGUGUGAGAGUGGAAAGUUCACACUGUGACGGUAUCUUACCAGAAAGAGACGGCUAACUACGUG